rnacentral:rRNA from 1 species
UGGAGCAUGUGGUUUAAUUCGAUGCAACGCGAAGAACCUUACCAGGGUUUGACAUCCUGCGAACCCCUGAGAAAUCGGGGGGUGCCUUCGGGAGCGCAGAGACAGGUGGUGCAUGGCUGUCGUCAGCUCGUGUCGUGAGAUGUUGGGUUAAGUCCCGCAACGAGCGCAACCCACGUCGUUAGUUGCCAGCAUUCAGUUGGGCACUCUAGCGAGACCGCCGGUGAUAAACCGGAGGAAGGUGUGGAUGACGUCAAGUCAUCAUGCCCCUUACAUCCUGGGCUACACACGUACUACAAUGCUACGGACAAAGGGCAGCAAACUCGCGAGAGCUAGCAAAUCCCAUAAACCGUGGCUCAGUUCAGAUCGUAGGCUGCAACUCGCCUACGUGAAGGAGGAACCGCUAGUAAUCGCAGGUCAGCAUACUG